GAUGGGGGAUGCCUCCCCAAGAAGAGUACAAUAAAGAAGUCGUGCACGCUGACUUGUACUGGCACAAGUGCUCUUAUGAAGAGUCAAUUUCUCACUGGAAAAAAUUACAGCUAUGAAUUGGAAGGUUGUGUUAAAUGACUAAGUUCAGUUGAAACAUGAUCACAGUACUUGCAACCUGGCACACCAUCCUUGGAUUAUCACUCUGGUGUGAUCACUUAUCUUCUUAUUCCUCACUGCUCAGGACUGUAAUGCUGGAGAACACAGUAAUGCUGGAAGAAGGUUACAGAGAAUACUUUGUGGGGCAAGGACAGAGGAUGGAUUAUGAACCACUUGGUGCACAUUUCCUCUAAAGGAAUGCCCAAGCUGGAUGCAUCCCAGCUGGUGAUGUCCCUGCAAUCAAACGUUUACCAUUUGCCAAAGAAAUAUAAUUGUCUGCCAAG